rnacentral:rRNA from 1 species
AUGAACGCUGGCGGCGUGCCUAAUACAUGCAAGUCGAGCGAACAGAUGAGGAGCUUGCUCCUCUGACGUUAGCGGCGGACGGGUGAGUAACACGUGGAUAACCUACCUAUAAGACUGGGAUAACUUCGGGAAACCGGAGCUAAUACCGGAUAAUAUAUUGAACCGCAUGGUUCAAUAGUGAAAGACGGUUUUGCUGUCACUUAUAGAUGGAUCCGCGCCGCAUUAGCUAGUUGGUAAGGUAACGGCUUACCAAGGCAACGAUGCGUAGCCGACCUGAGAGGGUGAUCGGCCACACUGGAACUGAGACACGGUCCAGACUCCUACGGGAGGCAGCAGUAGGGAAUCUUCCGCAAUGGGCGAAAGCCUGACGGAGCAACGCCGCGUGAGUGAUGAAGGUCUUCGGAUCGUAAAACUCUGUUAUUGGGGAAGAACAAAUAUGUAAGUAACUAUGCACGUCUUGACGGUACCUAAUCAGAAAGCCACGGCUAACUACGUG